UGCUGUUAUCAAGUCCCAGAUAUCCAAGAUCCUUUCUCUUUCAGGUAAAGCUUCUUUGGCCCUUAUUAUCUGAGCGACUAUAAAAUUAAAGGAAUCCCUUCCUUCCAUCAUGUCCAGUUCCACUAAAAAUAACCUUUCUCCUACUCUUUA